rnacentral:rRNA from 1 species
GAUGAACGCUGGCGGCGUGCUUAACACAUGCAAGUCGAACGAAGCACUUUACUACGAUUUCUUCGGAAUGACGGUUUUGUGACUGAGUGGCGGACGGGUGAGUAACGCGUGGAUAACCUGCCUCAUACAGGGGGAUAACAGCCGGAAACGGCUGCUAAUACCGCAUAAGCGCACGGUACCGCAUGGUACAGUGUGAAAAACUCCGGUGGUAUGGGAUGGAUCCGCGUCUGAUUAGCCAGUUGGCGGGGUAACGGCCCACCAAAGCGACGAUCAGUAGCCGACCUGAGAGGGCGACCGGCCACAUUGGGACUGAGACACGGCCCAAAACUCCUACGGGAGGCAGCAGUGGGGAAUAUUGCACAAUGGGGGAAACCCUGAUGCAGCGACGCCGCGUGAGCGAAGAAGUAUUUCGGUAUGUAAAGCUCUAUCAGCAGGGAAGAAGAAAUGACGGUACCUGACUAAGAAGCCCCGGCUAAACUACGUG